rnacentral:rRNA from 1 species
GAUGAACGCUGGCGGCGUGCCUAAUACAUGCAAGUCGAGCGAACGGACGAGAAGCUUGCUUCUCUGAUGUUAGCGGCGGACGGGUGAGUAACACGUGGAUAACCUACCUAUAAGACUGGGAUAACUUCGGGAAACCGGAGCUAAUACCGGAUGAUAUUUUGAACCGCAUGGUUCAAAAGUGAAAGACGGUCUUGCUGUCACUUAUAGAUGGAUCCGCGCUGCAUUAGCUAGUUGGUAAGGUAACGGCUUACCAAGGCAACGAUGCAUAGCCGACCUGAGAGGGUGAUGGGCCACACUGGAACUGAGACACGGUCCAGACUCCUACGGGAGGCAGCAGUAGGGAAUCUUCCGCAAUGGGCGAAAGCCUGACGGAGCAACGCCGCGUGAGUGAUGAAGGUCUUCGGAUCGUAAAACUCUGUUAUUAGGGAAGAACAUAUGUGUAAGUAACUGUGCACAUCUUGACGGUACCUAAUCAGAAAGCCACGGCUAACUACGUG